rnacentral:rRNA from 1 species
AGUGAACGCUGGCGGUAGGCCUAACACAUGCAAGUCGAACGGCAGCACAGUAAGAGCUUGCUCUUACGGGUGGCGAGUGGCGGACGGGUGAGGCAUACAUCGGAAUCUACUUUUUCGUGGGGGAUAACGUAGGGAAACUUACGCUAAUACCGCCUACGACCUACGGGUGAAAGCAGGGGAUCUUCGGACCUUGCGCGAUUGAAUGAGCCGAUGUCGGAUUAGCUAGUUGGCGGGGUAAAGGCCCACCAAGGCGACGAUCCGUAGCUGGUCUGAGAGGAUGAUCAGCCACACUGGAACUGAGACACGGUCCAGACUCCUACGGGAGGCAGCAGUGGGGAAUAUUGGACAAUGGGCGCAAGCCUGAUCCAGCCAUACCGCGUGGGUGAAGAAGGCCUUCGGGUUGUAAAGCCCUUUUGUUGGGAAAGAAAAGCAGCAGGUUAAUACCCCGCUGUUCUGACGGUACCCAAAGAAUAAGCACCGGCUAACUUCGUG